CCUACGGGAGGCAGCAGUGGGGAAUUUUGGACAAUGGGGGCAACCCUGAUCCAGCCAUGCCGCGUGAGUGAAGAAGGCCUUCGGGUUGUAAAGCUCUUUCGGCCGGGAAGAAAUCGUGUUCUCUAACAUAGGACAUGGAUGACGGUACCGGACUAAGAAGCACCGGCUAACUACGUGCCAGCAGCCGCGGUAAUACGUAGGGUGCGAGCGUUAAUCGGAAUUACUGGGCGUAAAGCGUGCGCAGGCGGUUUUGUAAGACAGAUGUGAAAUCCCCGGGCUUAACCUGGGAACUGCGUUUGUGACUGCAAGGCUAGAGUACGGCAGAGGGGGGUGGAAUUCCUGGUGUAGCAGUGAAAUGCGUAGAUAUCAGGAGGAACACCGAUGGCGAAGGCAGCCCCCUGGGCCUGUACUGACGCUCAUGCACGAAAGCGUGGGGAGC
rnacentral:rRNA from 1 species